rnacentral:misc_RNA from 1 species
AACGCACAUUGCGCCCGCCAGUAUUCUGGCGGGCAUGCCUGUCCGAGCGUCAUUUCAACCCUCGAACCCCUCCGGGGGGUCGGCGUUGGGGAUCGGCCCUCCCUUCGCGGGGCGGCCGGCCCCGAAAUGCAGUGGCGGUCUCGCCGCGGCCUCUCCUGCGCAGUAGUUUGCACGCUCGCAUCGGGAGCGCGGCGCGUCCAAUGCCGUAAAACACCCCAACUUUCCGAAAUGUUGACCUCGGAUCAGGUAGGAAUACCCGCUGAACUUAA